rnacentral:snRNA from 1 species
GUCAUCCCUUCAGCAGCACAUAUACUAAAAUUAGAAUGAUACAGAGAAGAUUAGCAUGGCCCCUGCACAAGGAUUACAUGCAAAUUUAUGAAGUGUUCCAUAUUUUU